UACGUAGGUGGCAAGCGUUGUCCGGAAUCAUUGGGCGUAAAGGGCGCGUAGGCGGCUUCGCUAGUCGGGCGUGAAAUGCCUGGGCUUAACCCGGGAAUUGCGUUCGAUACUUCGAGGCUAGAGUGUGGGAGAGGUUGGUGGAAUUCCCAGUGUAGAGGUGAAAUUCGUAGAUAUUGGGAAGAACACCGGUGGCGAAGGCGGCCAACUGGACCACAACUGACGCUGAGGCGCGAAAGCGUGGGGAGCAAACAGG
rnacentral:rRNA from 1 species